UGACAGCAGGCGGACCGUGCGAAGGUAGCGCAAUCACUUGUCUUUUAAAUCGAUAUUAAUUGACAGGAUCGGCGGUUUAACACAAAUCACUUUUUUUUUUGAAGACCUGUAUGAAUGGCAAAACGAGGGCUUAACUGUCUCCCUUCUCCAGUCAAUGAAAUUGAUCUGCCCGUGCAGAAGCGGACAUACAAAUACCUCGACGAGAAGACCCUUUGGAGCUUAAGAUAACAAAUCAACUAUGUCAAGAACCUAAAAAACAGGUCAAACUAAAUAGCAACUGAUUCCUAUCUUCAGUUGGGGCGACUGCGGGAGAAAACAAAGCUCCCACGAGGAUUGGGACAUACAUCCUAAAACCAAGAAAGACACUUCUAAGUAACAGAACAUCUGACCUUUUAAGAUCCGGCCACCAGCCGAUCAACGGACCAAGUUACCCUAGGGAUAACAGCGCAAUCCCCUUUCAGAGUCCAUAUCGACAAGGGGGUUUACGACCUCGAUGUUGGAUCAGGACAUCCUAAUGGUGCAGCCGCUAUUAAGGUUUCGUUUGUUCAACGAUUAAAGUCCUACGUGAUCUGAUUUCAAAACGGGAAGCGCUGUU
rnacentral:rRNA from 1 species